rnacentral:misc_RNA from 1 species
AAGUCGUAACAAGGUAACCGUAGGUGAACCUGCGGUUGGAUCAUUAAAAAUGAUGGAGUAAGAGGCCGAGCAUAUUUCCCUCGAGCAAAGCAGAUGUUACUUUGCCCAACGAGUAAGAACACGAUAAUAAGUGAACAGAAAGUUGGGUGCGUGCCUUGCCAGGCUUAGCAUCGAGGGCAAAUAUCCUGAAGCAAAGCCAACGUUAGGUAACCCAGCGACUAGGAACACGAUAACAAGUGAACAGAAAGCUGGGCGGCCCUUGGCUGAGCAUUCAGGCUACCUCCUCCGACCCACUUUAUGUGAAACGAAUCCGUCCCUGGCGGGGGGAUAGUGAAAACUAUCUGUCAGUCAAUGUGUAAACAUUUUCCGUGGACAUCCCGCCAACAGGCCCGACACCUUUUAUUUUUCUUUUUGUCCUGACAUUACUUGUAAAAAUAUUACAAAACAACUUUUGGCAACGGAUCUCUUGGCUCUC